rnacentral:rRNA from 1 species
CCUACGGGUGAUUGCAGUGAGGAAUAUUGGUCAAUGGGCGCGAGCCUGAACCAGCCAAGUAGCGUGAAGGAUGACUGCCCUACGGGUUGUAAACUUCUUUUAUAAAGGAAUAAAGUGAGGCACGCGUGCCUUUUUGUAUGUAUUUUAUGAAUAAGGAUCGGCUAACUCCGUGCCCGCAGCCGCGGUAAUACGGAGGAUCCGAGCGGUAUCCGGAUUUAUUGGGUUUAAAGGGAGCGUAGAUGGGUUUUUAAGUCAGUUGUGAAAGUUUGCGGCUCAACCGUAAAAUGGCAAUUGAUACUGGCAGCCUUGAGUACAGUUGAGGUAGGCGGAAUUCGUGGUGUAGCGGUGAAAUGCUUAGAUAUCACGAAGAACUCCGAUUGCGAAGGCAGCCUACUAAACUGCCACUGACAUUGAUGCUCGAAAGUGUGGGUAUCAAACAGGAUUAGAUACCCCUGUAGUC